CCUGUUAGCACAUGAGGAUUAGGGGACAGAACCAAAAUAUAUUUUACGAGAAUAUGGUGCAACACGGUUGGGCACUAGUGAUUUCUUAACUUCUUCACCACAAGGACCUCACGCAGGAAUAUUUUGCUUGGCAAACAAGUAAUGAUUACUUACAUUUUUACUUUUUUUUUUUUUCUUUUAAUGGAGACAGGGUCUCAUGCUCACCAGACUGGAGUGCAGUGACACAAACAAAUCUUACUGCAGCCUCGACCUCUUGGGCUCCAGUGAUCCCCCUGCCUCAGCCUCCUGUGUCACUGGGACCACAGAAACUGUGACUAAAAAAAAAAAAAGGCAGACCGGGCAAGAUGGCUCAUGCUUGAAUCCCAGCACUUUGGAAGACACAGGCGGGAGGAUUGCUUGAGUCCAGGAGUUCAAGUCUAGCCUGGACAACAUGGUGACACCCUGUCUGCACAGAAAAUUUUAAAAUUAGCCAAGCGUGGUGACAUGAGCCUGCAGUCCCAGAUACUCGGAAGGCUGAGGUAGGUUAGUCACUUAAGCCCAGGAAGUCAAGGCUGCAGUGAGCUAUGAUUGCAUCCUGGGGGACAGAGCAAGAUCCUGUCUCCAAAAAAAUAAAAAAUAACUAAAUAACUAAAUAAAGAAAAUAACUAACC